ACCUAGCUAGCUCAGAUGGUAGCGCAUGGGACUCUUAAUCGCAGGAUUGUGGGUUUGAGCUCCAUGCAGGGUU